CCCAAUAGUAAUUUGUUAACCCAUCGUAUGCCUUAUUCGAGAGAGAUGCCACUAGAGAACAAUAUACCCCCCGGGUCUAUUCACAAAUAUAUUUACAAAAAUACAAAAUACUUCACUAUAUUUUAUUAUUUUUAUUUACUUUUUAUAUUUAAUAUAGUAUGCUAUCUAUCUGUCACUACUUAUUAUUUGCAAGUAACCAGUUCAAGGGUAUUACAACCCUCUUGCAUGCAUUGGUGCAAGUGCUUGCUCCUUUGUGUGUAGGCAUUAAAGACGGGAGUUGUGUGGUCCUCCUAUUAGUUUGAUAACCUUGGUUCUCAAUGAGAAAAAAACUUAUCUAUAUUGUGCUGCAUCAUCCCCUCUUCUUCAGAGAAAAACUCAAUGCAGAUCACAAGUAUCACACUACACUAGUUUCAAAACACUCUCAUAUAGUGUCAAAAAUGCUCUUAUAUUAUGAGCAAAGUGCUUAACUACCUGCGCAUAGCUGAGUGCAAGACUUGCCUCACACUUCUGAAAAAAAUAGAACAAUAAUUGGGGUUUGAGAAUUCAAAACAAAUGAAGUCUUGCAUCGACAUAGCUAGCCAUUAGGUAAUGAAGAAGUUGUUAUGAUUGAUGUUAACGCAAGGUGUAGGGAUCUCCAUGCAACUUGAUGCACAUAGAUCUAUGAAUACGCAAAAGUUCUCCUAUAGACUAAGUGGGGGUGCACCCAACUUGCUUAUUGAUGAAGACCCUGAGUAUUUAAAGAAGCUCGUCAGCAAAAUAUACAAACAGAAUUCUACAAUAUAAAUUCUCCACAAGUAUGAAACAUGAAGCUGAUGAAAAAUUGUACUUUACAAUGCCUGAAGUGGUGCUAUUUUGAAUCACUAAGUGUAUACUGAAAACGAAAAUAAUGUUGCUCCUUCUUUCUUCCUCAUAUUUGUCCUUUUUCCUUGCUUACUUUUUUCUGUAACACCUGUGUGGUGCAUUUCUUAUUUGAUCUCUUUGUUUGGUAUAAGCAACACCUUAAAAUGGUGAUCAAUGCAUUUUAGAUGACAUACUUCAAAAAAAUGUAAUCAAAACUCAAUAUUAAAAUAAGAGAGCAAUUAUGUAUGGAUGUAGCUUGUAGUGUACUAGGAUGUGCAAUGAUCUGUUAUAGCAUAGACAUAAAAACAGACAAAUCAUAAAAAAUAUCAUGCUAGCCGUAUUACGGUCAUGCAAAACUAGGCCGUAUGUUGUUACUUUCGUUCCUAAUUUGCAUCUUCUGAAGGGGCAAACUAAUUUGUUUAAAAAAAUGGAAGAAACUGUUAAACGAGUUGCAUUGCAGCGGUAGGACAGACACGGUCAGUACAACAUCAUCCAUCAGAGUAAUGAUGUUUUAUACGAAACAAUUAUACUUCGUCAAACUUAAUUCUUAUCAUACUAUCAUGGUAAUGAGUAUGAUUAUGUUGAUUACUUAACAUAAAAAUACUUGCAAUGUUAUUAAAUAUGAAUUAUUAUGUUCAAAAUUUCAAUGUAUAUAUAUGUGUGAAUUUGAUCAUGCUAGGUUUAUAUUGUAUGUUCUAAUAAAAGUUAUUAUGUUUGCAUUAGUUUUUAACAAUUGCAAAGAUUAUAUGGUGUAUACAUAUAUUCUU
rnacentral:lncRNA from 1 species